AGCUCGAGUUGCUGUGAGCUACCCAAUCUCUGGACCUGCAGUAAAGUGAACAUCAAGCAGAUUGUCAAGAGAAGGUCCUACAGUGGAAUGAUGUUUGGAGAAGAAAACUUCCAAGAUGCCGUAAUUGACUAAUUUACCUCCUGUUCCUCUACAACUUAUAGGAGAAUCACAACCAGGCACACAUCAAGGAAAGGCUGUGUGAGGACACAGGGAGAAAGCAUCAUCUACAAACCAGGAAGAGAGCCCUUACUAGAAACCUAACCCUACCAGCACCUUGACCUUGGACUUCUACCCUACAGAACUGUGAGAAAUAAAUUUCUGUUGUUUAAGCCAUCAAGUCUGUGAUAUUUUAUGAUGGCAGCCUGAGAAGACUGAUAAAAAGCUAAAACACAUUUAAAUGAAAAAAAAAAUAUUUAUUUAUAUAAUGUAAAUAUCUUCCAGCUUGAUAGCCUCUGUGGGUGACUGCAUUUUGGCUGCCACAAUAUCUCCCCUCCCACAUGUACAUCUACCACGUGACAUUGAGUAUCUCCCAUCCCACACGUUUAUCUACCACGUGACAUUGAAUUGUCACCAAUCAAGAUGUACAAUCUGUGACUUUCCCUUUGGAAUUGCACAAACUUAUGUCUCAUUAGUAACCAGUGUGGUAGAAGUGAUGCUGUGUGCCUUCUGAGGCUGGGUCAUGAAGACAAUGCAGUUUCCAACUUGAGAGUUGGAGCACUUGCUUUAGGAGUGCUGUCACCAAGAAGGUUUGGAUACCCUAAGGCUGCCAUGUUGUGAGGAAGCCCAGGCCAGUGGAGAAGCCACUUUUGGAUGCUCAGCUUACUGUCAAGCACACAGGAAGUAUGAAAGAGAAGGUCCCAGAUAAAAGUCAACACCAAUAUCCCAACAUGUGAAUGAAGACACCUCUUGAUGAUUUCAAAGCCCAACAAUCAUCAAGUCACCCCUAGGAUAGUAUUUCUGGGAGGUCCACAAUUGAUCUCUCACAUGUACUCACAUAUUGGUUUCUGCUGUCAUCACAUGAUCAAUCAUCACCACUGUUGUUCCUCUGCUGCCUGGAGGUUCUCCAUCCCUGCCUUUGCCCUUCCCUCACACUCUCAUUUCAAGGUCCCUGUCAAAGAGGAAUGAUUUAACAGCUUUCAGGAUUUGGCAACUCCAAUGCCGCUGAAGACUGAGUGUGGAAGAGGCCCCAUUGCCAAUUUUCAGCCAUACUUUGUCACUUGGGCUCCAAAGCAACCUAGAAAGUCACAAAAGCUACUCCUGGGCAAUUUUCUGCCAACUCUAGUAGCCGUGCUUAUUCAAUAACAAUUAUAUAAUACUCAAUGUGAGACAGUUACUAUUUCCAUCACUUAAAAAGAUUAACCUACCUUUACAAUAACCUUAUGAGUUUUGUUAUUAUUUUGUUUUACAGAAGAGGAUACUGAGAUUUAGCAAGGCUAAAUAACCAGCUUAGGGUCACCCAGCUAGGAAGUAGUAGAGCUAGUGUGUGUGCAUACACUGGCACAUGCAUGCUCAUAUGUGCAUGUGUACUUGUAUCUUUCUCUGCUGUGUAUACUUGGAAGCAGGUUUUGGCUUGCCUGAGUCUAUGGAUGGAGGUAAGAGCAGCCAAUAUUUAUUGCAAGAGAUAAACAAACCCUAACCCAGCCAAGCUUUAAAGUGUCUGGGGUUUUAAGAGCUUUCCAGGCCCUUUGACGAAACCCAUCAGGCCAGAGUAAUGAUGCUGCGGUUUGCCAUUCAUUCUUAUUGGGUUUAAUGAAGAUAAAGGAGCUCUCUUUAUGUGUCCAGUUGGGCUUAACAAAUUAACCAGGCUGCCGGAGGGGUACAUGUGAACAGAAUAUUUGUCCUCAUAAUGUUCAUUAGGAGGGAGAAAGUUAACUAACCUUUUGUUCUGUAUUUCUUUUCCUAAAGCCCAGUGAAAACUGCAGAGCUGAAACAUCAUCGCUAAUCUUAUUUCUGACGGGCCUUUUUCUAACUUCUCCUUUUAUGAUCAUUUCACAGCUGUUAUAUUGAAUCAGUAUCAUUAUGUGUUUAAAAAAAAAAUUAUGCUCUGUGUCUCAGAGCUAACUGUCCAGAACUAAACAUCCUGGCCCCCUUUGGACAAUGACAGGCUGUCAGAGAACUGGAAAGGGGAUUGGGUUGGUUUGUUUGCUUCUUGUGUCCUCUUGACAGCUCCUGGUGAAUGAAGGAAAGCUGCGAUGAUCAGAUUUUUGCUAUGGGUUUACAACAUGACUAUAAGCAAAUCCCUGUAGCAAAUUGCAAAAAUGGCCCCCAAGUCCUGAAUGCACACCCCUUUCCAGUGGGAUUUUGCCACAUCUCUCAUUAACAGGUGGAGUCCCUAUUUCACACUUUGAAUCUGGAAUUAGUAAUGGGAUUUGCUUUGUCCAAUGGGAUGUCAGCUGAGGCUUGAAAGGCACUUGUUGGAGUUUGCUUUACCAUGCUGCAUCUAUAAUCUUGAGACCCUCACGUUACCCGGCCUGAGCUAGCCUGCAAGAAAAUGAGAGAAGAUAAGGAGAAGAAACAAAGUACAAUGGUUGAUGGUCACCCUUGUUAAUUCAACUGAUAGACUUCCAACUGCUAGACAAGUGAGGGUGGCCACCCUAGAUCACUCAGCCAUCAGCCCGCAUGCCAACUGAUCACAGAUGCAUGAGAGCCCAGCAGAGAUAAGCCAUGCUAACCCAGGCAGAAGUAUCACCCAACUGACACACAGAAUCAUGGACUAAAUAAAAUGGUUAUUUUUUAAAGCCA